AUGAACCGAUUUUACAAUUUUUUUAUUUCACAAGUUUUAGUGGCCCCAUUGUAUUGAAAUAUACUACACCUGGUUAAAAACCUACUGUUUACUAAGCCGACCGCGAGCAAUUCACACUUAUCCGUUGAGGAGUUCUGUUCUCUA